rnacentral:rRNA from 1 species
GCAUAUCAAUAAGCGGAGGAAAAGAAACCAACAGGGAUUGCCUCAGUAACGGCGAGUGAAGCGGCAACAGCUCAAAUUUGAAAUCUGGCCCCAGGCCCGAGUUGUAAUUUGCAGAGGAUGCUUUUGGUGAGGUGCCUUCCAAGUUCCCUAGAACGGGACGCCAGAGAGGGUGAGAGCCCCGUACAGUUGGACACCAAGCCUUUGUAAAGCUCCUUCGACGAGUCGAGUAGUUUGGGAAUGCUGCUCAAAAUGGGAGGUAUAUUUCUUCUAAAGCUAAAUACCGGCCAGAGACCGAUAGCGCACAAGUAGAGUGAUCGAAAGAUGAAAAGCACUUUGAAAAGAGGGUUAAACAGCACGUGAAAUUGUUAAAAGGGAAGCGCUUGUGACCAGACUUGCGUCCGGUGAAUCACCCAGCUCUCGCGGCUGGGGCACUUCGCCGGCUCAGGCCAGCAUCAGCUCGCUGUCGGGGACAAAAGCUUCAGGAACGUAGCUCUCUUCGGGGAGUGUUAUAGCCUGCUGCAUAAUACCCUUCGGCGGGCUGAGGUACGCGCUCCGCAAGGAUGCUGGCAUAAUGGUCAUCAGCGACCCGUCUUGAAACACGGACC